rnacentral:rRNA from 1 species
AGCGAACGCUGGCGGCAGGCCUAACACAUGCAAGUCGAACGAACUCUUCGGAGUUAGUGGCGGACGGGUGAGUAACACGUGGGAACGUGCCUUUAGGUUCGGAGUAACUCAGGAAACUUGUGCUAAUACCGAAUGUGCCCUUCGGGGGAAAGAUUUAUCGCCUUUAGAGCGGCCCGCGUCUGAUUAGCUUGUUGGUGGGGUAAUGGCCCACCAAGGCGACGAUCAGUAGCUGGUCUGAGAGGAUGACCAGCCACAUUGGGACUGAGACACGGCCCAAACUCCUACGGGAGGCAGCAGUGGGGAAUCGUGCGCAAUGGGCGAAAGCCUGACGCAGCCAUGCCGCGUGGAUGAUGAAGGUCUUAGGAUUGUAAAAUCCUUUCACCGGUGAAGAUAAUGACUGUAGCCGGAGAAGAAGCCCCGGCUAACUUCGUGCCAGCCGCCGCCGUAACAC